AUGUCCGGAUCCGGAGCUGGGGGAAAGUGGAUGGCCUCCUCCGUCAAGAAGAGGGAUAUCAAGGCACUCCAGGAGGCUGGAUAUCUGGCCAAGGAGAUCGCUCACCGACUCCCAGCCAAAGGACAGAUCGUCCCUACUCCAGAGCCCCACGAGAGGGUUGUGUUCCUCACACAUUUCGUCCGUGGGCUGGGCUUCCCUCUUCACCCCUUCGUCCGUGGACUGAUGUUUUACUACGAGCUAGACUUCCAUGACCUAGCCCCCAACUUCAUCCUCAACAUCAUGGCAUUCAUUGUCGUGUGCGAGGCCUUUCUCCGCAUCCCGCCUCAUUUUGGCCUAUGA
rnacentral:rRNA from 1 species